rnacentral:rRNA from 1 species
AACGAACGCUGGCGGCAUGCCUAACACAUGCAAGUCGAACGAGACCUUCGGGUCUAGUGGCGCACGGGUGCGUAACGCGUGGGAAUCUGCCCGUCGGUUGGGAAUAAUUGAGAGACAUUUCAGCUAAUACCUUAUAAUGUCUUCGGACAAAAGAUUUAUCGUCCAGGGGUGAGCCCGCGUAGGAUUAGGAAGUUGGUGGGGUAAUGGCCUACCAAGGCGUCGCUCGUUAGCUGGUCAGAGAGGCUGAUCAGCCACUCUGGGACUGGGACACGGCGCGGACUACUACAGGAUGCAGCAGAGGGGGAUAUUGGACAAUCGGCGGAGGCCAGAUCCAGCAAGGCUGCGUGAGUGAUGAUGGCGUGAGAGAAGAAAAGCGCGUUUACCCGGGAUGAUAAUGACAGUACCGAGAGAAUAAGCUCCGGCUAACUCCGUG